rnacentral:rRNA from 1 species
UAGCUAGCAGGUGAGGUAAAGGCUUACCAAGGCGACGAUCUGUAGCGGGUCUGAGAGGAUGAUCCGCCACACUGGAACUGAGACACGGUCCAGACUCCUACGGGAGGCAGCAGUGGGGAAUUUUGGACAAUGGGGGCAACCCUGAUCCAGCCAUGCCGCGUGAGUGAAGAAGGCCUUCGGGUUGUAAAGCUCUUUCGGCCGGGAAGAAAUCGCAUGGGCCAAUACCCUGUGUGGAUGACGGUACCGGAAUAAGAAGCACCGGCUAACUACGUGCCAGCAGCCGCGGUAAUACGUAGGGUGCGAGCGUUAAUCGGAAUUACUGGGCGUAAAGCGUGCGCAGGCGGUUUUGUAAGACAGGCGUGAAAUCCCCGGGCUUAACCUGGGAACUGCGUUUGUGACUGCAAGGCUAGAGUACGGCAGAGGGGGGUGGAAUUCCACGUGUAGCAGUGAAAUGCGUAGAGAUGUGGAGGAACACCAAUGGCGAAGGCAGCCCCCUGGGUCGAUACUGACGCUCAUGCACGAAAGCGUGGGUAGCAAACAGGAUUAGAUACCCUGGUAGUCCACGCCCUAAACUAUGUCAACUAGGUGUUGGGUGGGUAAAACCAUUUAGUACCGUAGCUAACGCGUGAAGUUGACCGCCUGGGGAGUACGGCCGCAAGGUUAAAACUCAAAGGAAUUGACGGGGACCCGCACAAGCGGUGGAUGAUGUGGAUUAAUUCGAUGCAACGCGAAAAACCUUACCUACCCUUGACAUGCCAGGAACUUGCCAGAGAUGGCUUGGUGCCCGAAAGGGAGCCUGGACACAGGUGCUGCAUGGCUGUCGUCAGCUCGUGUCGUGAGAUGUUGGGUUAAGUCCCGCAACGAGCGCAACCCUUGUCGUUAAUUGCCAUCAUUUAGUUGGGCACUUUAACGAGACUGCCGGUGACAAACCGGAGGAAGGUGGGGAUGACGUCAAGUCCUCAUGGCCCUUAUGGGUAGGGCUUCACACGUCAUACAAUGGUCGGUACAAAGGGUUGCCAAGCCGCGAGGCGGAGCCAAUCCCAGAAAGCCGAUCGUAGUCCGGAUUGCAGGCUGCAACUCGCCUGCAUGAAGUCGGAAUCGCUAGUAAUCGUGGAUCAGCAUGUCACGGUGAAUACGUUCCCGGGUCUUGUACACACCGCCCGUCACACCAUGGGAGCGGGUUCCGCCAGAAGUAGGUAGCCUAACCGCAAGGGGGGCGCUUACCACGGCGGGGUUCGUGACUGGGGUGAAGUCGUAACAAGGUAGCCGUAGGGGAACCUGCGGCUG